CUUACAUUUUUAAGAGCAAGACCUGCUCUAGUUGUCACAGCAUGGGUGGUAUAAUCCCCACCUUGGGGUGUGAUGGUUCCAGGUAGCAAACAGGAACCAGAAUAGUGGUAUGAAUAAAACUAUCUAUUUAUUGUAAAAAAGCAUAUAAAAUAUAGCAACAAUAAAAAAGUAUCCUAUGAAGUAAAAUUGAAGUGUCCCACUUGACGCGUUUCGCCUUUCAAAGAUUUUUUUUUUUUUUUUUGAAAGACGAAACGCGUCAAGUGGGACACUUCAAUUUUACUUAAUAGGAUACUUUUUUUAUUGUUGCUAUAUUUUCCUGUCUGCUACCUGGUACCAUCACAUCCCAAGGUGGGGAUUAUACCACCCAUGCUGUGACAACUAGAGCAGGUCUUGCUCUUAAAAAUGUAAGUACAUUACUUGUCUUAUAUUUUAUAUUAUAGUGCCUACUACACUAUCAGAGUUUUUCUGCUCUUCUACUUCCAUACUCAUCACCUGUACCUGCAUAUGCACUUGGAGGACCAGUACCAUCUACACCACCAUAUAUCCGUAGACUGGGAUUAUCCCGUCCAUGCGUAAAACAGCUGAGCUCUAAUGUAGCUCUACCAAAUGUGAGUGGUUCUCCUAUAGCACUUGUAUUUACUAUUUGCACUUUAUCAAAUUGUACUGUACCAUUAUUGUCUUUUUGUUUUUUAUACGCCACAUCUGAAGUUUUAUGUACGUAUGAUUUUGUGCGCAGUAUACGCCACAUUUACUUUCUGUCUAAUUACCACACAAGAUCUUGGGAAUCCUUGUACUGUAUACAGCAGCCCCCCACAUAUCUACUGUAUUAUAGCGAGCGCCUAUUACCCUUAUUUUCACUAGUAUUCAGAAUUGAAAUGAACGGUCUUAUGAUAGUUGCUGGAUCCGAAAGUCAAAGGAAAGUCGCUAGUUCCGUUGUUAGAUGGUUGGAGAAUGAUUGGAGUUACUCUUUCAUGUGAGUUGCAAAAAAAUUGUACUUGAAUACAUUAUCAUUCCUACAUUGUUCUAUUUGGGGUUUCCUCCUCCUAAUAGUUUCCAGUAAAAGUGGCAUUGUAGAAAAGUAGAAAGUGUGCUUUCCAUGGCAAGCAAUCUUCAUGUUUUAUAAAGGAUUGUUAUCCUGGGAGAUGCUCAAAGGGUGACUUACCUACCCCUUUACCUAUCUGUGACAAUAUCAGAACAUUACCAGACUCCAAUAAAGCAUGGAAGAGCACAACUUCUGACCAAGCCAUAUUCCCGCACAAAGGGUUGUAUGUGUGUGUUACAAUCUUACUGUAUGGUGGGUCCAUUGUAUGUGGCAAAAAGUAGGUGAAUGUUGUAUUGAAGAGUCUAGAGGCGACAUGCACUCUUCCAUUUCAUGUAGCAAAACUCACAAAAAAUCAUUGUCCCAAUUCUAUAUCGUAGAUAACCGAUUGCAGAAUGCAUCCAUAAUUGGCAUCAGACAAAAAGUCACACUGUCCUUAUCCUGUGUGCUGCUGCAUAUGAUUUAAUUUUUAUUUUGGUUCCCAUCGCAUCCUUGCAGAAGCGCCUCGCUAUGGAGGCUGAGUGCAUUUCGCUCAAAUGGAGUGUUUUACAUUUUUAGGAGGGAAAAUAAUAAUCAUGCGCUAUACAAAGGGAUUGGCACAUCUAUAUAUAAUUUCACAUAUCCAAAACAAAUGAUUUCAAUUGCAGUAAGUGUAAGAAAUGAUCACUUCUAAUGCUUGCGAAUCCUGAAUCCACAUUUGCCUUGUUUGUAUUAAGCAUUGCUCUGAUUUCUUGUACAUAUUUCAAUGCACUUAACGUGAAAGGCUGUGCGUGGGUAAAAUUUGUAAGCGUGUGUUUAUACUAUCAUUGAAAUCAUUGCAAGCAUGUCUGUAAUUGGUUUUGUAGUCAUUAAUAGAUUUGCGUUCCGGUGUUUGUCUUUUUGUUUGACCCUUGUGUGUGCAUCUGUGAGUCACUGCCAAUUUCACUCUUGAAAUAAAAGCUCAUGUUACAGGCUUCGUAUGGUUUAUCGAUAGGACUUGCGUUCGAUCAUGACACACUAUGCAUUUAGUAUGGAAAACGCGUUGCGCCUGUCUUUGAACCUUUUUAGACUUUAUUUUUAAAUUCUGUUUUGAAAUUAAUCAGGUUCUUUAAAAACUUCAAAGUUGCCUUUCGUUUUGCAGUAAAAUUAUAGCGUGCCUUAUGUUUUUUUUGCUAAAUCUUUUAAAAUAUUUCAUAAAAGCAAAAAAACAACAACUUUGUAUAGUAAACAUUCAUUAUUCAAGGAGCUUCCCGAUGUAUUUUCAUUGAUAGCCAUUUUUAUCGCCAUAGACAUCCUGACAUUUAUACUGAAGAUAUUUGUUUGAUUCCCUGAGCAGUAUUUGAUGAAAUUAAGCUGGUUAUUUGCUAGUUUAACAGAUGGCACAUAAAGAAAAAUGGUUUUACAAUGUUUUGAGCUAUCUCAUCUUUCCUGAAAUCUCCCUACCCGGUCUUGAUAUCAAGCACAAGUAUUAAGAAUUUAUAUAAAAAAAAUUCAAUUGAUUCUUUUUCAUUUAUUUAAUCAGAAAAUGCAUCAUUUUUUUCAACUAACCUCUAUUUUAAAAUUAGCAUUGUGAUUUUUUUUUUUUUUUCUUCUCCAAAAAGUUAGCACAUGUUUUGCCACGUUACCUGUCUUGUUUCUACAAGUGACAAUAAAAAGUACAAAUGGUGAGAGCACUCAAUAUAGAACAGUAACUUGUACAGUAAAAUUACCCAAACUGGAUUUUGAUCUGCAAAUAAACACAAAUAGAGAGAGAAACAUAGGGUAAUAACGUAAGGAUAAAUAAAAAGACUUAACAACUGGUCUCACUCACAUAAAAAGAGCCACUUAGAUAGCUGGCUCAAACUUGCAUGCCUUGAAUAAAAACUCUUGUAGGGCUUUCACUGGGUCCUUUCUGUAGUUGUAUUUCUUACACCACCAGGAAACGCAGGUUCAAGGGGUAUUAAUGAAAUUUAUUUUCAAACAUAAAUAAAAAACUACAUAUACAAAAGAAAGUCCCUUUAAAAAACAAGUCCAAAGAGCACCUGACGCGUUUCGGCAAUAAGCCUUCAUCCGAGGCUUAUUGCCGAAACGCGUCAGGUGCUCUUUGGACUUGUUUUUUAAAGGGACUUUCUUUUGUAUAUGUAGUUUUUUAUUUAUGUUUGAAAAUAAAUUUCAUUAAUACCCCUUGAACCUGCGUUUCCUGGUGGUGUAAGAAAUACAACUACAGAAAGGACCCAGUGAAAGCCCUACAAGAGUUUUUAUUCAAGGCAUGCAAGUUUGAGCCAGCUAUCUAAGUGGCUCUUUUUAUGUGAGUGAGACCAGUUGUUAAGUCUUUUUAUUUAUCCUUACGUUAUUACCCUAUGGUUUUCUCUCUCUAUUUGUGUUUAUUUGCAGAUCAAAAUCCAGUUUGGGUAAUUUUACUGUACAAGUUACUGUUCUAUAUUGAGUGCUCUCACCAUUUGUACUUUUUAUUGUCACUUGUAUUUAUCUAGUGGUUUUUGGUGGCUCCACUAAGGUGAUUGUAGCACCAUUUUCCUUGUUUAGGAUUUAUUCACCAGUCCAUUCUAUUGUUGUCUUGUUUCUACAGCUUACCAACACGAACAAUUUUUCAGGAUGAAAUAGAAAAUACAUUAUUUUAUUUCAAAUUUCCAAUAUUUUUCUGCCCAGUUUUUGUAUUUUGUCCAAUAAUGGGAGGGCAGGGGAACCUGUAAAUUUUGAUUAUUCUUUUAAAGCGCUAAAUUCCAAAGAGGUUAAAAUUUGAGGUUUUUAAUGAUUUUAUUGUAUAAUACCAAACUGCUGUAAUAUUGUAUAAUAUGCAUCACUGUCUAAAUACUGAAAAUAAUAAAGUUUUUAAGCAAAUAUA
rnacentral:lncRNA from 1 species